GCGCCUUUGCUGUUUGUGGUCCGCCAGAAGGAGGCUGUGGUGUCCUUCCAGGUUUCAGCGCAAGUACCUCUACCAAAAAGUGGAACGAACCCUGUGUCAGCCCCCCACCAAGAAUGAGUCGGAGAUUCAGUUCUUCUAUGUGGAUGUGUCCACCCUGUCGCCAGUCAACACCACAUACCAGCUCCGGGUCAGCCGCAUGGACGAUUUUGUGCUCAGUACUUCAAGUAUGAGUUCCCUGAAGGCGUGGACUCGGUAAUUGUCAAGGUGACCUCCAACAAGGCCUUCCCCUGCUCAGUCAUCUCCAUCCAGGAUGUGCUGUGUCCUGUCUAUGACCUGGACAACAAUGUAGCCUUCAUCGGCAUGUACCAGACGAUGACCAAGAAGGCGGCCAUCACUGUACAGCGCAAAGACUUCCCCAGCAACAGCUUUUAUGUGGUGGUGGUGGUGAAGACCGAAGACCAAGCCUGCGGGGGCUCCCUGCCUUUCUACCCCUUCGUAGAAGAUGAACCGGUUGAUCAAGGGCACCGCCAGAAAACCCUGUCAGUGCUGGUGUCUCAAGCAGUCACAU
rnacentral:sRNA from 1 species